CUGUGACUACUUACCACGCCUACUCGAUCGAUCAGCUAUUUAAAUAGGCAAGAACAAUGCAUUGCUAUCUUCAUACUCGAUCGAACCCACAACACAUCAAACACAGUUGUACUUCGUUGAUCUCCAGUUCCCAGACUCAGUAAACUCAACUGAACCAUGCGAUCUACAUUGGUAUUGUUUGCUGCCAUAACAAUGGUCCUGUGUGUAAUUUGGCUGAAGGUCUCCCUCACAACCGCAAGAUUGAAUUCAAAAUACCCCGACCGCAAUUUUGCCAAACGGACGAAGACGUGUACCGUCUGUGCUAUUUGUGUGCACGAGCAAUGGAAGAUAUUGAUGUCUACAACGGCUGCUGUGCUCAAGAAAAAUUAUACUAUUCUUUCUGUCAAGUAUAUCUGGCCUAGCAUGGCGACUAAUGUUAGUCAUAGCAAUGUUACUUCAUGUUUUUUGCGAGAUUGUUCGGGGAAAAAAAGACAAUAAAUUAUAAUUUAACUUAA